AGGUUUAAAUCUUUGAAUCCUGCAUUUGACAACCAUCCUGUGAAAACAUUUGAUGGUUACUGUGGAUGUUUGAUUCCUCGAAGAUAGUUCCCUCCAUCAUAUUGCCUUGACCUCGGAAGUAAUUGUCCGGCUGAUGAUGAAUUUUCUGCUGGAAAAUAUUGUGACAUUCAGCUACUCCAUUGUUGCCAGAACUUGCGUUCUUGUUUCCUUGGAUGUUCGUGUCAUAGAUUGACAUGAGCUCAUUGAUCAUCUUUUGCCCAUCUUCCGGAACU
rnacentral:misc_RNA from 1 species